GACGUGGCUGAGGAGGAGCCUAUCAGUGUCCCUACCACUCUAUGCCACUUGGGUCAUGUUUUGGUUACCAGUGAUCUUCGCGCGGGUGCUCCUGGGCAUAGUAGGCAUUUGAGCUUGUGAUCUAUAAUAAUAGUUAAUGAUAAUAAUUCCAAACCCCUUUGUAUCUAUCAACUCACAACAAUCCAUUUUACAGAGGAACCAAACAGACGAAGCGUAAAUAACUUGCUCCAGAAUUCUCGUAUUUGAUCUACCUUGAUGUAAAGGCAAGAGACUGGAUACUGCCUAGAGAUAGCCUAUAACACAAAGGACAAUAUCUCUCAAGAAAACUCAAAGAGAGAAAUUCUGGAUGACGGAGACAUAGAUGCAACCUCAGGAAAAUCUACAUGAACCUGAUUUUGCCAUAUGUGCUUAAGAGUUAAUUGAAUGCUAAGAGGGUAAGGAUGA